CGACAGGCUUAACACAUGCAAGUCGAGGGGCAGCAUGAUUUGUAGCAAUACAGAUUGAUGGCGACCGGCGCACGGGUGAGUAACGCGUAUGCAACUUACCUAUCAGAGGGGGAUAGCCCGGCGAAAGUCGGAUUAAUACCCCAUAAAACAGGGGUCCCGCAUGGGAAUAUUUGUUAAAGAUUCAUCGCUGAUAGAUAGGCAUGCGUUCCAUUAGGCAGUUGGCGGGGUAACGGCCCACCAAACCGACGAUGGAUAGGGGUUCUGAGAGGAAGGUCCCCCACAUUGGUACUGAGACACGGACCAAACUCCUACGGGAGGCAGCAGUGAGGAAUAUUGGUCAAUGGCCGAGAGGCUGAACCAGCCAAGUCGCGUGAAGGAAGAAGGAUCUAUGGUUUGUAAACUUCUUUUAUAGGGGAAUAAAGUGGAGGACGUGUCCUUUUUUGUAUGUACCCUAUGAAUAAGCAUCGGCUAACUCCGUGCCAGCAGCCGCGGUAAUACGGAGGAUGCGAGCGUUAUCCGGAUUUAUUGGGUUUAAAGGGUGCGUAGGUGGUGAUUUAAGUCAGCGGUGAAAGUUUGUGGCUCAACCAUAAAAUUGCCGUUGAAACUGGGUUACUUGAGUGUGUUUGAGGUAGGCGGAAUGCGUGGUGUAGCGGUGAAACACAUAGAUAUCACGCAGAACUCCGAUUGCGAAGGCAGCUUACUAAACCAUAACUGACACUGAAGCACGAAA
rnacentral:rRNA from 1 species